AUGCUGGAUUAGUGGUGCAGAGAUUAGUAAUACAGGGAUUAGUAAGACUGGGAUUAUUUUUUAUGCAGUGUUUGGUUUGAUGUAUUGAAAACAAUAUGUAUUGUUAUAUUUUAAAAAGAAUAUUGCUUGUUUACAAAAAUACCCUUUGACAUAUUAUAACUUUGUUAAUUUUCUUUGCAAAACUUUAUUAUUCUUUUAAAAAAUAUAUAUAUAACUAAUUAUUUACUUUGGAAUUUUAAGAUUCAAUCAUUCACUUACAGAUAAUUUUUGGUUAUCUCUUCUUUAUUUGUUCAUCAUUUUUUUAUUGUUUCCACUUUGUGAUGUUCUUACGUUGGAGGGAGAUACGUGUAACUUUUGAAUGAGACAAUAGAAUUAUUAUUAACAUAAAUUUGUGUUGCGUAAAGUGUUAAAGCUAAUUAGAAAAAAUAUUUUUAUUUAUGAAUAUCCUAUUUUCAAAACUAAAGCUUGUAUGCAAUCAUGCAAUUUAUUUUCGAAUUUUGAUCAAUAAGUAUUUUUUAAAUUAAUGGAGUAGUUUUUUUAUGACUAAAAUUAUUUGGAGGGAUAUUAUUAUCUUCAUAAAUUGAAAAGAAAUAACUCAUAUUGAAUAAAUUGAAAAGAUUUAGAAAAAAAAUUAAAGAAAUUUGAGGGCGUUUUUGUCUUGACACAUAUUUGUCCAUGGACUAAUAAUCUCAUCAAAUUGGGUGUAUUAGUUAUACACCCUAUAAUACCAUGUAUGAUAUAUAACUAAUCCAUGUAUUAGUUAUACAUAGCUUCAAAAUUGCUACCAAACAAUGUAUUAAGUAAUCCCAUCAUUUAAUCCAUGGAUUAUUUUCGUAAUUCACCCUACCAAAUGGGAGCUAUCUGAUACCUAUUGCUGGUGGAGUGACACAUAUCCCGUGGAAUUAGUUGAGGUGUGCACAAGCUGACGCUUACAAAAAAUCAUUUCAUUUAAAAUAAGAUAAGUAUUUUACAAUCAAAUUGUUACUAAAUAUAAAAAUAUGAAAAUGUAUCGUUCUUAGCAAAAAGAAAAGUGUGAAUUAGGAAGUAGUAUAUGAUGACAACUCUACAUAAACAUUGGAUAGAUUGUGAUUCACUCAAGGCGCUAACCAUCUCUUGUAUUAGCAUUUAGCGCACUUCAAGAAUCUCUCUCUCUUUUCCCAUUUUUGGGUUCAAGAUUUGGGAGUACAAUAACAUCAUUGCUUUUCCAUAUGUCAUGUUAAUUACUUCUGAUGGAAGAACAUAAUACGUUAUUCUUGGUUCCACUAUCAUCACAACAUUUAGAGUUGCAUUCAUAAUAGAUUCAUAGCAAAUGAAUCAGACUAUCAUAAUGUAUCAGAUGCAUCACGAAAAAAAAUAAAAAAUCGAUGUUACAAUCAAACAAACAAAUGAAAAAAAAAAAAGAGAGAGAAUCGUUUGACUUGAUUGGGUUAUUAAUAUCGAAAUGAAGUCAUCAAUUCGGCUACGAUAUGUUUUUUCUAAAUAAACCAAACUUCAAAAUCACAAUAAUUUAAACGAUAUAACUCUCUCCAGAUUGCACAAUUUUCUUAAAUCGUUCUAUUCGUACUACACGGAUGUAACAAUUGAGCACCUAGAGCAUAUGGUGGUUGUGUUAUAAAUGAUUGAUCAAUCUUUUCUAUGUGCAAACCAUGUAACUCUGUCAAUUUAAAUUUAAAUUUAGAUUAACAAAAUAAUAUAGUUGACAUUCAAGCAACCCUUUCUAGAAAUAAUAAGUCACAAAAUAAUAUAAUUGACACUCAAGCAACCCUCCUAAUAUCCAGGUUGACAUUGAUUAGGGUGGUUAACUGGAGCUAAAAUUAACUCAAGACCUAAAAGUUAUGAAAUUCCAAAUCAUAUUAAUUUACCCUGAUUAAAUAAGAAAUAAAGUUAAAAGAAUAACAGUAGCGCACAAAGCAUUCGUUCAAUGACAUGAACACAAUUGUAUUCAUUGACUUGACUUAAUGUGAACAUCGACUACGUGUAAGAAAACAGAAAGAAUAAUAAUAACGGGACUUUGAAUUAAAAGAGAAAAACAAGUUUUCCAAUUAAGUGAGAGUCCUUCAGAUUUUUAAAAUUAGGUGAAAGGGACAAAAUUUUUUUGAGUUUUUUUUAAAGUUUUUUCGUUCCAACAACUUCUCCCAAUUGUUCGACAACUGUGCGAAGUAGUUGAGACAACUAAUGUAAUUGUCGAACAAACUUCAUUUUUUUAAACCCACUUGUCCCCUUUUUUUCUCAAUAAUAACUGCAGAUGGAAAAACAAAAAGUUGUUAUCGAUAUCAGUAACUUAGCAGGGAAAACAAGAUGGGAGAAAUCAAUGAAACAUUUGAGAAACAGGAGAAAAUAAUAUGGCCUGGCUACAAAAUGCAGCUGAUCAAAGAUGUACAAUGCCCUCUCUCUAUCCAAAAGAAUAGUCAAAAUAGAUAGAAAAGAAAAAGCUAUUUUUAGGAACUUUACAAUAUUUGGAUCUAAAGAACAAUGUGAGCAUCAUAAUCUUUCUAUCAUUCACCUAGAAGGAGUUUCUGAUAGCUGACUAUUCAAUGCAGAACUUGAGGGAAUAGAAGGCAUAGCUCCAUUAUCUUGAGACGAUGAACCGCCCCACCUGGGCUCCGCAUCUGAUGGCUCCAUUACAUGCACCGCGCCAUCACUCAUACCAAGAGCAAAUUGGUUGGAAUCAGAUGGAUGUGCUGCUAUCACCACAGGAAAUGUAGCGCCGCUGCCACUGCUUAAACAAGUGAAAUUCAGAUUAGUUGGCCACAGUACCGAAAGAUUACCCCUAAUACCAGAUAUAGAGUAAAGAGCAUGCCAUUAUUUCAUGUUACGACAUAGAGAGGCUCAUGCCCUAUUCACCAAAUAUAAGCAGAAAUCGCAAGUGCUGACUUUGUUUUACCAAACGUAUUGUACAUUCAGUCGAGAACUUUCUAGCAAGUUAAUCUCCCUCAAAAUUGUCCUCCAUAUAGUGUAAGGUUUUGCGGGGAAAAUGAUCAUUUCUUUUAGAAUUUCAUUUUCCUUUUGAACAAACACAUGCAAGAAAACCAUUUUCCUUAAACUUGCAUACCAUAAUUUUCUAGAGUAAUAUAUUUUCAAGCGAAUAAGUUGGCAUCCAAACAAAGGCAAGUUUCCAAGAGAUCACUAAAGAUCUGGCAUCGGCAUAUUUAGGCAUCAUGGACUAGUAUAUCAUUCAAUGUAAAGAGAGAAAUAUGAUUGGUUUGAUUGAUAGGAAGCCGGGGUGGCUCAAGGGUAAAGCUAGUAAAGCGUCUACUUUAGGCCCCAAAAUUUUGAGGCCCCAAAAAAUUUAAUAUGAAUUUUAUGAUUUUAAUUUCACUUCAAAUAAUAUCAAAGAUUGAAAAAUAUAAAAGGUAUAAAAUUUAAACUUAUAAAAAUAAAGGAAGAACUGUCUAUUGUUUAUUAAAAAUAUUUUAGAACUUUUUAUCAAAUCUUGAUAUUAAUAAAUAAAGUUUUUACAAUAAUAUUCAAGGUAAUGUAUUGCAAACAAAUGACUAAUAUCUUAUUAAUUAAAAUUUGUCCUUACUUUUAUAAAUAAUAAUAUUAGUAUGUUCUAAAAAUACUACACUAAAAAAAGUACGUAAGAAUCAAAAAAAUAUUGAUAAUACUUUUGUUAUGUGCAUAUAUAUAUAUAUAUAUAUAUAUAUAUAUAGGCAUAAUAUUAAAAUUUGGCUUUUAGGCUACUAAUUUUAUUGACACGGGACUUGAUAGGAAGAGCACAUAGAUCUAUUUAACAUGUUUGAUAAAUCUUGCUAUAGGAAACUUACAAGGACGUCUUUUGUUACUACUGAACUUGUGUGCUAUUUGGGUUUUCGGAAAGGGGUUUAACGUUGGUCUUAGGCUUGAGCAAUAAUUAAACUCAGAAUCUCCGAUUUGAGGUACAACCGACUAAGCGCUUUUUAUAAUUUCUCUUUGCAUUUAUGCAAUUUCAGUCCAACCCAGCCCAACCCACUACAGUACUACUUACAUGUGCAGUGCUACCCAUUUCGGAACAAUGAAUCUAUCCAAGCAAAGCAUUACAGUACUACUUACAUGUGCAGUGCUACCCAUUUCGGAACAAUGAAUCUAUCCAAGCAAAGCAUUAAUACCUGCUACAAUGAAUCUAUCCAAGCAAAGCAUUAAUACCUGCUAAUUGAAGAUAAGUAAGCUGGGGGUGCAAUUCUACAUCGAAGUCUGAGACUGUCCGCAUCAAAUAUUCCGAUUGCACCAUCGCAGAAUCCAGUAAAGAUCAGCAGACCAUCGCAAGAGUAUAUAGCACUUGAAAUGGGAGCAGAAAGGGAAUCUCUUGGAUACCACUGCAACCAAUUACCGUUCAAAUCAUUUAUAUUUGAAUAUUUGAACUAGGAAAAGUAAGGAACUUAAAAGGUCAACAUGUCUCGUGUUAUAAUUAAAUAUGAAACAUGAAAGUUCUCUUUUGUGAGCUAUGCCAAGCAAUAUAUAUGCAGCUACACUGCCAAGUAGAAGCAAGAAAUGAAAUAGAAACAAAAAGAGUGAAAAAAUAUCUCAAUACAGCUUAACUCCGUCAAGCCUGGACGAGUGGUGAAGAAGUAUAGAGCACUGGAGGAGUAGUGAAGAAGUAUAGAGCACUUUAGUUGGUUUUUGACCAACGGAAAGCAUGCGAUCAGGGUUGGAUUUGAGUAAUAGACUGACUGUCAAGGAGUGAAAGCAACUUGACUAGUUGAAAAGGGUACUAAAAAGGAACUGCUACCAACUAGGCCAGAAAGAAGACAAACAUGGUAAAAGCAUUAAAAAAUAACUUUUAUAAUGGGAACAAAGAACACAGAAAAUUGCAUUGGUUCCAAGCAAUUUUGGUUUAGCAUUGCCAUAAUAGAUCCUAAGUGCUAAGUGAUUGUCUCCUAUCCAACUCUUGAAAUAUAUCCUAAGUGCUAAGUGAUAUCCUAAGUGCUAAGUGACUGUCUCCUAUUGAACUCUUGAAAUAUGCUGGAAAGUUAACCCAAACAAACAAGAAACAGCAAUAUUUAAAACAUCCAUCCCAAAGAAUGGAUGUGAUACAAUCACAAUUAAAGAUGAUGACAACUUUACAAUAAACACUACCAGGAUUGUCAUCAGUACAAUCACAAUUGAAGAGGUGAUGAGAAUGAUACAUAUACUGAUAAGUGGAAUUUAGUUAACCUAAAACACCUGCUUUAUGAGCAAUCAAUACAAAUUCUAUUUGCACAUUUACUAAUAAAAUACAAUAAAUUCAUGUGAAGACUUACUGAACGUUGACAUUCAAGUUGGGUAUCAUAGAUUCCAAUUUGGCUUUCAUGAACUACUAGUACAUGAGAUUGGUCAUUAUGGAACUGGACUCUAGUUUCUCCAACUAAGGGAGCUUGGUGACCUGGCGGCGCUUGUAUAGGCCUUGCUUUUUUCUUGUCCCAGCCAUCAACACUCCAGAUACAUAGCUGCAUCACAGAACAAGCACCAAAUAUUUUGCUAUUAGCAUGUCAUUGAAAUUUUACAACAUUACUACUAUAGCAUCAACUCUGCAAAGAUGCGACGAAAGCACCAUUGCCCACCCUAAAGAAAUAACAAACUUAACGCAUGCAUAAAUACAAUCCAUAAAUCCAAAUGGUACCAGCAGUGCUGUGCAUUGAAAGGAAAUGAAUGUAGAGAGGUAAAAUUAAUGUAAAGAGGAGAAAAAAACGUCAACAUGCCUGUGCAUCUGCACCUGAAGAUACCAGUACAUUCAAACUCUGUGAAAAUGCAAGGCCUGUGAUCCGUUUCUGGUGACCCUUGAGCUUGAUUUUGACCUAAGAGUGAAAGAUAAAGAAGAAAACACAAAAGAUCCGUUACCACAAAAUUCUAAAGGACAGACAGGAAUAAGGAAAACAGAAAACAAAGUUGUUAAGCAUAAGGCUUAAUGGAAAUGUAAUAAAAUAAGCCUCUUGCUUUGAUAUUGAUGGUCUAUAUAAUCCUGACCUUAAAAAGUAUGUUAAUUUUGAGGUGAGGAGAAGAAACAUGGUUGGUUACUGUAUUAUAUUAAUGAUUAACAGCCAUUUGUCUAAGAAUAAAGAUAAGGGGUCUAUACAUUCACGCUUCCGUCCACUUUUAAUUAAUUGAUAAUGCUGAUGGGGAGAGCACCCAACCCCUCCAUAUUUACUUUCUUCCAAACUGAGUGAAAUGGACCUCAUCCCUCGAGAUUUGCCUCCUCUCAGGCAAUCCUUCCUCUUUACAACCCAAAACUAAACAUAGCAUAAGAACAUUCUUUCAAUUUCAUUAUCUAAACCUUCACUAAAACAAUGAAGCCUAACGUAAACUCAGACUUAUUAGCAGGCAUAUUUGAAGACAAACAUGCAUGCUGAUAUUCCCACCGUGCAUGGCUAAAAUAAGCAUUGUAAAAAAUAGGAGAAAGAGGAGAAGAUGGAAGCUACAUAAUGAAGUUUCAGAAUCAGAAUAAACGGUGACAGAAAAAGAGCAAUACUGUUCCUUCCAAAAUGACAUGUGCAACCUAGGACCACCACACAAAGAAGGAAAAGUACCUCAUCAACCCUAACAUUGUAUAUCUGGAUAGUGGAAUCCUCCAUUCCUACCGCAAUAACAUUGUUAUCUUGAGGAUGAAAUGCCAAAUAGGUGGCUGCAGGGGGUGGAGGCAUGAAAGUUGUCAUCACCUGACCAGAGUUCAUGUGUCAGUCCAGAUUAACCAAUUUAUCAUCGUCAAAGAAGGGACAAGUCAACUUUUUACAUAAUGAUAAAAAUGUUGAUAAACUUCACGUUCAAGAACUAGACGAGAUCUUCGUCCACUCCUUUUCCUAGGGAGGGUCAACAAACCUUGAAGGUCAUCAUGUUAAACAAGGACACCUUCCCUCCAGAAGCAGACAUGACGUAAGAAUCAUUUUUAGAUAAAGCAAUACAUGCAGCGGCAUCUUCAGCUGAUUUUGCAUCACCGACAUCAUUAGACAUGAGUGCUCCAUUUGCCGGCAGCCACAGUUGUGGAGAAACUGCCGCUGAGGACUGAAAGAAAGAAGUAAGGAAAGCAAACCAAUCAGAAUUUUCUGAAAAGAACUACUGAGAAUUAGAUCUGAGCCAUAUGGAUACUCCAACUUAACCUUUCCAGAUGGAUUUCGCUCAUUUCUCUGCCAUUUCCAGAGCUUAUGAAUGGCAUUAGAGCCCAGUGCCAGGACAGCAAGCCCAGAGUUUGUAUAGAGCAGCCGCAACACCUGCCACCAUUACAACAAAUAUCUUUAGGUUGCUGACAAAGACUGUUAAUCGAAGAAGCAUUUUGUGCCUCAACAAUACAAUAGCAACAAUUCAUAUUCCACCAAGAAAGACAUAAACAUGCAGCAGGAGAUUCAACAACAGUAUCCAGGAACAAUAAAGAGUUGUGAAAGACCUCAUAGAGCAAGCAAAAGAAUGGCAUAUCUGAUAAUACAAGCUAUAAAUGAGGUGGUCAAACAAUUCAACGGUAUUAGAGCAAACAGAGAACCUAGGUUCAAGUUUCUCUGUCACCCUUCAUCAAAAAAGAGUUUCCAGGUACUUUUGCCGAGAAAAAGGAUCAAACCCGCACAUGAGAGCGUAUUCGAGAUAUAAGCAAAUAAAAUAGUCUUUUCUAAACUUUUUAUAUGAGGUAGUUACACAAUUCAAUUCAACAAGGAUUAUGACAAACGAUGCCACAAAAUUUAAUCUUCAAAAGAGAACCUAACACAAGCAAGUGAAACUAAAAAUGUAGAUGAAGUUUUCUAACAACCUUGCUGGCUGACUGAGGGUCUGGCAACUUUAGCGUUUUAAGUUGAGAUGAGUCGGUAAUAUCAGAGAAUUUCCAGCUUUUAAUCUUGUUCAUAUUUUCCGCAAUUUUAGGUUUCACGUCGGGAACUCUGCUGCUUUCCAUAGUGGCCUAUUGAUACAACAAGCAGGCUAAGUAAAAUACAAUAGAAUCAUACUUCAAACGACAAGAUCAGGAAGCACCAUGCAUUCCCCUGUCAAAGGUGAUAAAGAGGGGGAGGGGGAGAUCAUGGCAGAUAACAUACCAGAUUGCCGAUAGACAUUGAUUGCUGAGUUCUAUCACUCCGUUCAAUGAUUUGAGGUGCCGAGCCAGAUAUAUUAGGAAUUGGACCUAAGGAACCAGCAAUUGGUGGCUGCACAGUGAAUCAAUUUAAAGACAACCAUCAACUGGCGGUAUGAAUAUGACAAUUUAAAUUAGUUAAGGGCCUUGUGUAGUAAGAAACCAUAACUGCCCAAAUGAGGAGCAAUAGUACCUUAACAUUGACAUCAGAAAACGCACGUGAACCCUCAAAUGCCCUACUCUCCAGCAUCCUCAGCAUUCGCUGCCCAUCAGUAUUUGCCAGAACCUUGAUUCCAUUAUCACUCGUCGUGACAGCCAGCAAAGAGCCUUCCUUAUUGAAUCUUAGUCUCGGACUGGCCUGAAAAGGAAAAUGGAGUUCAAAAAUUAUCAAUUUCAAUAUUGAUGAUCAAGCAAAUGAAUUCAAGUAACAGAAAUACUAACAGGCAAUCCACCAUCGCCAUCAGUAUACGUAAGCAUGUUGGUAUUAUCCAUUUCCCAAAACUUUAUCUGGAACUCAUCACCUGCAGCUAAGAAACGAUUUCUCGUUGUGUCAAACUGCACUACACCUAAUGAUCGCUUUCUAAAGCCAGAGAAUGUCCUCUUGAUUGCUCCUUCACUCUCAUUCCACUCUACAAGGUGGGAUUCACCUUCUUUACUUGUACCACAAGAGAAAAGUCUGAAAGAAGAUCAGAAAAGUUAAAAAUGACUAGAUAUAAAAUCAAAUGCAAACAAGUUUGUCUUGCUUCUCAAAAAAGUUCGUCUUCUUUCAGACAUCAAUCAUAAAAUCGCGUAGGCCUCUUUACAAUUCAUUUUUCUACCUUCAAUAAGCACCAUUAAAUCAUUCACUAUUGCUGCCAUAUCUUUUAUCCUGGCACCUUUUGAGUAUAAAACUCACCCUAACGAGUCCUCCUCCAACGGCGUCAUAUUUUGCCUUAGGGAGUGUGCAUAACUUUAGCCCUUUUUUAUUUUUUGGCCAACGGUAUGUUUGAUAGAGUGCCAAAGAAGGUUGUUAGAGAGAGCACACUUUUAUUUAUUUAAAAAUGUUUUUCAACACACCAUCUCAAGUCCGUCUUAAUCUUUUUUCACGAAUCAACAACAACAACAACAACAAAAAACCCAGUGUAUUCCCACUUAGUGGGGUCUGGGGGGGGGUAAGAUGUACGCAGUCCAUACCUCUACCUCUGAUGAAGUAGAAAGGCUGUUUCCGAAAGACCCCCGGCUCAAGUCACGAGAUAUCACACAAACCCAUAGUACAGCACAGAAGCAGAUGACAUAACAUAAAUACGGCACCCAUAAGGAAUAUAAAACAGAGGAAAGCAGAGGAAAGCACACAGAUUCGUAAUAAACAUGGAACACGGAACACGAAACACUGAAUACGGAAUCAUAACAGGAAUACACCCCCACCAAUUAAUUCCCUACACUAGCGACCCGAACUGGCCCUAAUCCUCUGCCGUAAUUCGCAUCUUCCAGACCUUCCUAUCUAGGGUCAUGUCCUCGGUGAGCUGUAACUGUUCCAUGUCCCGCCUAAUCACCUCACCCUAGUACUUCUUCGGUCUACCCCUUCCCCGUCUAAAACCAUCCAACGCUAGCCUCUCACACCUACGGACCGGGGCAUCCAUGCCCCUCCUCUUCACGUGUCCGAACCAUCUCAAUCGUGCUUCCCGCAUCUUACACUCCACUGAAGUCCCACCAACCUUCUUCCGGAUAGUCUCAUUCCGAACUCUAUCCGCUCUUGUCAGUCCACACAUCCAGCGCAACAUCCGCAUUUCUGCCACCUUCAUUUUUUGGAUGUGGGAGUUCUUAACUGGCCAACACUCCGCUCCAUACAGCAAGGCCGGACGGACUACCACCCUAUAGAAUUUGCCUUUAAG
rnacentral:lncRNA from 1 species